AUAAAACAAAAUCAAAUUAAAAAAAAAAAAUCAAUAAUCAAACACUAAAACAGCAUGAUUCAAAAUACCCAUAUACCAAAUACCAAUUUAAGCACACAUGUUAUACAAAAAUGAACAUAAAAACAUACCAAUUAGCUGCUUAGACAUCCAGAAAACAUGCCAAAAGAAAAAAUGAGUGAAAACUAUAACAGAUUAAGGGAUCUGAUAAAACCAAAAAAACUUCUACAAUCCAAAAAAAUAUAAAACCACACAUGUCCACUUCAAAACCCCUCAUUUAUCUUCAUUAUCCCAACCAAUCAAACACCCAUAAAAAACAGCAACAAAAACAAAAUCAAAA
rnacentral:misc_RNA from 1 species